GACGAACGCUGGCGGCGUGCUUAACACAUGCAAGUCGAACGGAAAGGCCCUGCUUUUGUGGGGUGCUCGAGUGGCGAACGGGUGAGUAACACGUGAGUAACCUGCCCUUGACUUUGGGAUAACUUCAGGAAACUGGGGCUAAUACCGGAUAGGAGCUCCUGCUGCAUGGUGGGGGUUGGAAAGUUUCGGCGGUUGGGGAUGGACUCGCGGCUUAUCAGCUUGUUGGUGGGGUAGUGGCUUACCAAGGCUUUGACGGGUAGCCGGCCUGAGAGGGUGACCGGCCACAUUGGGACUGAGAAACGGCCCAGACGCCUACGGGAGGCAGCAGUGGAGAAUAUUGCACAAUGGGCGGAGGCCGGAUGCAGCAACGCCGCGUGCGGGAUGACGGCCUUCGGGUUGUAAACCGCUUUCGCCUGUGACGAAGCGUGAGUGACGGUAAUGGGUAAAGAAGCACCGGCUAACUACGU
rnacentral:rRNA from 1 species